ACCCUGAUGCACAGGAAUACGGGCCCAUCUAAUUUUUUAGUGCUACCUACCACCUAAAAAGGCCCUGUGCAUCAGGUUGGCCCAACAUCAGUGCAUCAGGGUGUCCAGACUUCACGCACGCACGCCUCCGCAAUGGGCCAAUACAGGCCACGCACACACGCACCUGCUGUUUGUUCCCCAGCCCAAGUCACGUACGCACGCUGUAAUCAAUCGAUCGAUCAGUUUCCCGUGUAGACGUACGUGCGCGUACCAAGCGGCCGUGAAAUCAAUCGAUCCAUACGACCUAUAUACGCCUCGCGUACACAGGCGGCAGCGAACCGGCGACGUCGGACGCCGCAGGCCGCAGCACCACAGCCACACUUGAGUUCCGCGCGACACCUACCGCACUCGCAAUUUCGUCUUCGGCUGGCCCUCCUGCUCUCUGCAAUUCGGCGACCUGUCCGAGAGAUCUUCCGUUCUGUCUAUAGAUUGGAUAGGAAGGAACCCCAAUUCUGGUAGUGUCCUUGCCCUACCUUUUCUAAAUCUUUCUACGAAUUGCAAGUUGCAAAAGUUACGUUUUGGAAAACAUAAUUUGGGGAGAGAGGAUUCAAUAUGAUCCGGGCAAGAGAAAAUUGAAAGAAUGAAUGAAAAAGGCCAGCAAUGCUCAAGUUGUUGAAUAUUUCGUCGCUCGGAGGUGUAGGAUGUACUAAAGGUUACUGAACCUUGUUGUCCAAUGAUGUAUUCUGGAAUUUGGAAAUGCAAGACAUCCAUUUUCAGCUCCGCCCCUGGUCCCAUGGAGAUGGCCCCUGCUGCGACCUCCGCAAGGCCGGCGGUGAGGACGAGCGAGGAUGGAGCGCUUGCACCUGAGAGCCCCGCG